AACGAACGCUGGCGGCAUGCCUAACACAUGCAAGUCGAACGAGAUCUUCGGGUCUAGUGGCGCACGGGUGCGUAACGCGUGGGAAUCUGCCCUCUGGUUCGGAAUAACAGUUGGAAACGACUGCUAAUACCGGAUGAUGACGAAAGUCCAAAGAUUUAUCGCCAGAGGUUGAGCCCGCGUAGGAUUAGCUAGUUGGUGUGGUAAAGGCGCACCAAGGCGACGAUCCUUAGCUGGUCUGAGAGGAUGAUCAGCCACACUGGGACUGAGACACGGCCCAGACUCCUACGGGAGGCAGCAGUGGGGAAUAUUGGACAAUGGGCGAAAGCCUGAUCCAGCAAUGCCGCGUGAGUGAUGAAGGCCUUAGGGUUGUAAAGCUCUUUUACCCGGGAUGAUAAUGACAGUACCGGGAGAAUAAGCUCCGGCUAACUCCGUGCCAGCCGCCGCAGUAA
rnacentral:rRNA from 1 species